GAUGAACGCUGGCGGCGUGCCUAAUACAUGCAAGUCGAGCGAACGGACGAGAAGCUUGCUUCUCUGAUGUUAGCGGCGGACGGGUGAGUAACACGUGGAUAACCUCCCUAUAAGACUGGGAUAACUUCGGUAAACCGGAGCUAAUACCGGAUAAGAUUUUGAACCGCAUGGUUCAAAAGUGAAAGACGGUCUUGCUGUCACUUAUAGAUGGAUCCGCGCUGCAUUAGCUAGUUGGUAAGGUAACGGCUUACCAAGGCAACGAUGCAUAGCCGACCUGAGAGGGUGAUCGGCCACACUGGAACUGAGACACGGUCCAGACUCCUACGGGAGGCAGCAGUAGGGAAUCUUCCGCAAUGGGCGAAAGCCUGACGCAGCAACGCCGCGUGAGUGAUGAAGGUCUUCGGAUCGUAAAAUUCUGUUAUUAGGGAAGAACAUAUGUGUAAGUAACUGUGCACAUCUUGACGGUACCUAAUCAGAAAGCCCCGGCUAACUACGUG
rnacentral:rRNA from 1 species